UACGUAGGGUGCGAGCGUUGUCCGGAAUUACUGGGCGUAAAGAGCUCGUAGGUGGUUUGUCGCGUUGUUCGUGAAAACCGGGGGCUUAACUCUCGGCGUGCGGGCGAUACGGGCAGACUGGAGUACUGCAGGGGAGACUGGAAUUCCUGGUGUAGCGGUGGAAUGCGCAGAUAUCAGGAGGAACACCGGUGGCGAAGGCGGGUCUCUGGGCAGUAACUGACGCUGAGGAGCGAAGGCCAGGGGAGCAAACGGG
rnacentral:rRNA from 1 species